rnacentral:rRNA from 1 species
GACAGAGGUGCCGAGCGUUAGGCGGAAUCACUGGGCUUAAAGCGUGUGUAGGCGGAUCGUUAAGUGCCUUGUGAAAUCCCACGGCUCACCCGUGGAACUGCUGGGCAUACUGGCGGUCUUGAGCCACCUAGGGGCAACCGGAACAAACGGUGGAGCGGUGAAAUGCGUAGAUAUCGUUUGGAACGCCAAUGGUGAAAACAGGUUGCUGGGGGUGUGCUGACGCUGAGACACGAAAGCCAGGGAGCAAACGGG